GGCUCGAUGGUCUAGAGGUAUGAUUCUCGCUUUGGGUUUCAAUCAAGAUUGCGAGAGGCCCCGGGUUCGAAUCCCGGUCGAGCCC